rnacentral:rRNA from 1 species
AUUGAACGCUGGCGGCAUGCCUUACACAUGCAAGUCGAACGGCAGCACGGGAGCAAUCCUGGUGGCGAGUGGCGAACGGGUGAGUAAUGUAUCGGAACGUGCCCAGUCGUGGGGGAUAACGUAGCGAAAGCUACGCUAAUACUGCAUACGAUCUAUGGAUGAAAGCGGGGGACCGUAAGGCCUCGCGCGAUUGGAGCGGCCGAUAUCAGAUUAGGUAGUUGGGGGGGUAAAGGCCUACCAAGCCGACGAUCUGUAGCUGGUCUGAGAGGACGACCAGCCACACUGGGACUGGGACACGGCCCAGACUCGUACGGGAGGCAGCAGUGGGGAAUUUUGGACAAUGGGCGCAAGCCUGAUCCAGCAAUGCCGCGUGCAGGAUGAAGGCCUUCGGGUUGUAAACUGCUUUUGUACGGAGCGAAAAGGCUCUCUCUAAUACAGGGGGCUCAUGACGGUACCGUAAGAAUAAGCACCGGCUAACUACGUGCCAGCCGCCGCAGUAAUAC